AUCCAGCUGUCGAGUCCCAAAUAGGACGAAACGCGUGUCCUGGAU
rfam:Schistosoma curassoni strain Dakar, Senegal genome assembly, scaffold: SCTD_contig0001750